GGCCGGCGGCUGCGUGGCCGGUCUGGCGCCGGCCGGCUGACGGCUGGCCGGCGGCUGGGUGGCCGGUCUGGCGCCGGCCGGCGGCCAC
rnacentral:tRNA from 1 species